GACGAACGCUGGCGGCGUGCUUAACACAUGCAAGUCGAACGGUGAAGCGCCUUCCUUUUUGGUGGGUGUGGAUGAGUGGCGAACGGGUGAGUAACACGUGAGUAACCUGCCCCCUUCUUCUGGAUAACCGCAUGAAAGUGUGGCUAAUACGGGAUAUUCUGGGUCUGUCGCAUGAUGGGUCUGGGAAAGAUAUUGUUUCGGUGGGGAAUGGGCUCGCGGCCUAUCAGCUUGUUGGUGGGGUGAUGGCCUACCAAGGCGGUGACGGGUAGCCGGCCUGAGAGGGUGGACGGUCACACUGGGACUGAGACACGGCCCAGACUCCUACGGGAGGCAGCAGUGGGGAAUAUUGCACAAUGGGCGCAAGCCUGAUGCAGCGACGCCGCGUGAGGGAUGGAGGCCUUCGGGUUGUGAACCUCUUUCGCCAGUGAAGCAGGCCUGCCUCGUUUGUGGGUGGGUUGACGGUAGCUGGAUAAGAAGCGCCGGCUAACUACGUG
rnacentral:rRNA from 1 species